rnacentral:rRNA from 1 species
AUGCAAGCCGAGGAAGACGCCGAGUUCGUGGGUGCGCGGGUGGAGGCCGGCCUCCGCGCCGCCCGCUUCUCCUCGCCGCCGUCGUCGGAGGAGUUCGCGGCCUCCAUCGAGCCCAAGAACGUCCCCGCCGUAUUCCGCGGCGUGCUCAAGGGGUCAGCCGCCUCCCCUCGGUGGGAUCCUCUCCAUGGUGGCCUCGACUACUUGCUGGAGAAGGUGGGGCCUGAUGUUGCGGUGGAAGCCAUGAUGUCGAGCACCGGGCACGUGUUCUACGGGGAUCUCAGAAGUCAUGAGAGGGUUUCUAUCCCAUUCUCCACAUUCAUGCAUUCCUGCAAAUCUUACCUGGGGCAUCUGAAUGCUGCUAGUGAUUCGUCCAAAGAUAAAGGUAUUGGGGAGGAGCCAACUUGUUCAGGGGAAAUGUGCUCAGCUGGCUUGGAGAUUUCCGAGCAACUCUACUUAGCACAGGUGUCAAUCCUCAACACUGAGAACAAAGAGAGAUGCUCGUUAGAAGUUUUAAAAGAGGACAUUCAGGAGCCUAUAUUUCUGAAAGGAAAACCAUUUUCAUCAAUAAACUUCUGGAUGAGUAGGGCUCACAUGAGAUCAAGUACCCAUUAUGAUCCUCACCAUAACCUUCUCUGCGUGGUGGCUGGAUGCAAGAAAGUAACUUUGUGGUCUCCCUCCGCAUCCCCAUUUUUGUAUCCAAUGCCUGUAUACGGGGAGGCCUCCAACCAUAGCGGUGUCAGUAUUGAGGAACCAGACUAUUCAAGUUACACAAGAGCAAAAUACAUGAAGGAGUAUUCUGAAAGGGUUGUCCUAAAUUGUGGCGAUGCUCUUUUCAUACCAGAAGGAUGGUAUCACCAAGUAGACAGUGAUGAUUUGACCAUAGCAAUUAACUUUUGGUGGAAAUCAAGAAUAAUGACUGAAAUGUUAGAGCAUAUGGAUGCCUACUAUCUACGCCGAAUUUUAAGGAGAUUGGUGGAUACAGAGAUGAACAAAAUAGUGCAGAAAAAUUUCUUCAGACAUGCGAAAGAAAACAACGGUUUUCAGCCAACAGACAAAGAAUUGAGAGGCUCUGAGCAAUUCAAUUUGCACAACGAGGUUAAAAGUCAUGAUACAUCUGACAAGAAAGGUGCACGGGAUACAUCUGACAAGAAAGGCGCAGCUGAUACAUCUGGCAAGAAAGGUGCACCAUUGCAAUCUUUGGAACCCAGCACCCUACAAGCGCUUUAUGAACUCAUGUCAAUGGUUCAUGACAGUGUUGAAGCGGUUGACCAAAAUGACAUAGCAGAAUCUGCAUCUCAGGAUACAUCUUCCAGCCAAAGCAAUGAAAGAAAGAAGACUGCUGCAGAUGAUUCAUCUCUCUUGGAGAAAGACCCCGUUGCAAAAAUCAUUUUGCCAGUUGAACCACUCGAGUUGCGGAGUAUGCUACUAGCAAUGGUGCAUACUUUCCCAAGGACAUUAGAAGGUUUAGUCCUCAACAUACUUGGACCUACAGGAGCAGAGAUACUGACUAGGAAGUUUGACGAGAUGGAUCAACAAACCACAACAGAAGAACAGACUGAGUUCUACAAGACAUUCUACAGUGCAUUUGAUGACCAAUAUGCUGCAAUGGACACACUUCUCAAUAGGAAGGAACUGUUUUCUUUCCAGGUGUUCCAGAGUGUCCUUGACCAAUAUCUUAGGGUGCAUGUUGAUCGGCCUAGCUAA